rnacentral:rRNA from 1 species
GAUGAACGCUGGCGGCGUGCCUAAUACAUGCAAGUCGAACGCACAGCGAAAGGUGCUUGCCCCUUUCAAGUGAGUGGCGAACGGGUGAGUAACACGUGGACAACCUGCCUCAAGGCUGGGGAUAACAUUUGGAAACAGAUGCUAAUACCGAAUAAAACUUAGUGUCGCAUGACACAAAGUUAAAAGGCGCUUCGGCGUCACCUAGAGAUGGAUCCGCGGUGCAUUAGUUAGUUGGUGGGGUAAAGGCCUACCAAGACAAUGAUGCAUAGCCGAGUUGAGAGACUGAUCGGCCACAUUGGGACUGAGACACGGCCCAAACUCCUACGGGAGGCUGCAGUAGGGAAUCUUCCACAAUGGGCGAAAGCCUGAUGGAGCAACGCCGCGUGUGUGAUGAAGGCUUUCGGGUCGUAAAGCACUGUUGUAUGGGAAGAACAGCUAGAAUAGGAAAUGAUUUUAGUUUGACGGUACCAUACCAGAAAGGGACGGCUAAAUACGUG